CCGGUAAACGGCGGCCGUAACUAUAACGGUCCUAAGGUAGCGAAAUUCCUUGUCGGGUAAGUUCCGACCUGCACGAAUGGCGUAAUGAUGGCCAGGCUGUCUCCACCCGAGACUCAGUGAAAUUGAACUCGCUGUGAAGAUGCAGUGUACCCGCGGCAAGACGGAAAGACCCCGUGAACCUUUACUAUAGCUUGACACUGAACAUUGAGCCUUGAUGUGUAGGAUAGGUGGGAGGCUUUGAAGUGUGGACGCCAGUCUGCAUGGAGCCGACCUUGAAAUACCACCCUUUAAUGUUUGAUGUUCUAACGUUGGCCCCUGAUCGGGGUUGCGGACAGUGUCUGGUGGGUAGUUUGACUGGGGCGGUCUCCUCCUAAAGAGUAACGGAGGAGCACGAAGGUUGGCUAAUCCUGGUCGGACAUCAGGAGGUUAGUGCAAUGGCAUAAGCCAGCUUGACUGCGAGCGUGACGGCGCGAGCAGGUGCGAAAGCAGGUCAUAGUGAUCCGGUGGUUCUGAAUGGAAGGGCCAUCGCUCAACGGAUAAAAGGUACUCCGGGGAUAACAGGCUGAUACCGCCCAAGAGUUCAUAUCGACGGCGGUGUUUGGCACCUCGAUGUCGGCUCAUCACAUCCUGGGGCUGAAGUAGGUCCCAAGGGUAUGGCUGUUCGCCAUUUAAAGUGGUACGCGAGCUGGGUUUAGAACGUCGUGAGACAGUUCGGUCCCUAUCUGCCGUGGGCGCUGGAGAACUGAGGGGGGCUGCUCCUAGUACGAGAGGACCGGAGUGGACGCAUCACUGGUGUUCGGGUUGUCAUGCCAAUGGCACUGCCCGGUAGCUAAAUGCGGAAGAGAUAAGUGCUGAAAGCAUCUAAGCACGAAACUUGCCCCGAGAUGAGUUCUCCCUGACCCUUUAAGGGUCCUGAAGGAACGUUGAAGACGACGACGUUGAUAGGCCGGGUGUGUAAGCGCAGCGAUGCGUUGAGCUAACCGGUACUAAUGAACCGUGAGGCUUAACC
rnacentral:rRNA from 1 species